rnacentral:lncRNA from 1 species
CUUCUGAUAGAGUCACAGUCACUCUGACUUCAGGAAACAGAAUCCUCCUUGGCAGCUGGGGUGCGCCUGUAGAUAUCCCUGCUUCCUAGCAGAGAUACCAUACUGUGAAAUACAUGCUUAGAAAAUUUUGAGUGUUUUCCAAGGAGGAAAAGCAGAAGCCACUUUAAAAAUGAGCUUUAUUUGCUAAAUUAGAAAACUAUACUAUUCAAGAGCACUAAUAGUAUUGAUUAGGGAGAGGAGAGAAAGAGUUGGACCCAAGCUUGUCUUUCUUGUCUCUCAGUACCAUACGGUGAAGAAAAGCUGGAGUAAGAUCAGAAAGAAGAGCUGCACUCGGAAAGCUCGUAGAGAUUGCUGGGAAGAAGGGGAGGGGACUGAUGAUCUGGCUUCAUUUCUACAAAGGUGAGAAACUUUCCACUUCUCUCUGUGUCUGCUUCCUAUUGGGGGCUAUGAUGUAAACUCAGGAACUUGGGCUGAGCUGGGGGAGGAGGGGACACCCCAGGUUAGAGUGGAGUGUGACUAAAGCCCUGGGUCCAGGGGUUUUGUAGAAUUAGGGUGUGGGGCAUUGGAAGGGCCAUAGACAGCAGUUGUCCUCCCCUUCCCAGC